rnacentral:rRNA from 1 species
CGCUGAAAGCAUCUAAGCGGGAAGCCAACUUCAAGAUUAGGAAUCAUUGAGACCCCUAGGAGAUGACUAGGUUGAUAGGCUCUACGUGGAAGCACAGUAAUGUGUUGAGCGGUGGAGUACUAAUUCGUCGAGA